AUUGAACGCUGGCGGCAUGCUUUACACAUGCAAGUCGAACGGUAACAGGUUAAGCUGACGAGUGGCGAACGGGUGAGUAAUGCAUCGGAACGUGCCCGAUCGUGGGGGAUAACGCAGCGAAAGCUGCGCUAAUACCGCAUACGAUAUGAGGAUGAAAGCGGGGGACCGUAAGGCCUCGCGCGAUCGGAGCGGCCGAUGUCAGAUUAGGUAGUUGGUGGGGUAAAGGCUCACCAAGCCAACGAUCUGUAGUUGGUCUGAGAGGACGACCAGCCACACUGGGACUGAGACACGGCCCAGACUCCUACGGGAGGCAGCAGUGGGGAAUUUUGGACAAUGGGCGAAAGCCUGAUCCAGCAAUGCCGCGUGCAGGAAGAAGGCCUUCGGGUUGUAAACUGCUUUUGUACGGAGCGAAAAGGCUCUCUCUAAUACAGGGGGCUCAUGACGGUACCGUAAGAAUAAGCACCGGCUAACUACGUGCCAGCAGCCGCAGUAACAC
rnacentral:rRNA from 1 species